CGGCGGACGGGUGAGUAACGCGUGGGUAACCUGCCCUGUACAGGGGGAUAACAGUCAGAAAUGACUGCUAAUACCGCAUAAGACCACAGCACCACAUGGUGCAGGGGUAAAAACUACCGGUGGUACAGGAUGGACCCGCGUCUGAUUAGCUGGUUGGUGAGGUAACGGCUCACCAAGGCGACGAUCAGUAGCCGGCUUGAGAGAGUGAACGGCCACAUUGGGACUGAGACACGGCCCAAACUCCUACGGGAGGCAGCAUG
rnacentral:rRNA from 1 species